GAGUUUGAUCAUGGCUCAGAGCGAACGCUGGCGGCAGGCUUAACACAUGCAAGUCGAGCGGAUGUAGCAAUACAUCAGCGGCAGACGGGAUAGUAACACGUGGGAACGCGCCCUUUGGUUCGGAAUAACUCAGGGAAACUUGAGCUAAUACCGGAUAAGCCCUUACGGGGAAAGAUUUAUCGCCAAAGGAACGGCCCGCGUCCGAUUAGCUAGUUGGUGAGGUAAUGGCUCACCAAGGCGACGAUCGGUAGCUGGCCUGAGAGGAUGACCAGCAUCACUGGGACUGAGACACGGCCCAGACUCCUACGGGAGGCAGCAGUGGGGAAUAUUGGACAAUGGGCGAAAGCCUGAUCCAGCCAUGCCGCGUGGAUGAUGAAGGCCCUAGGGUUGUAAAGUCCUUUUAACGGGGAAGAUAAUGACGGUACCCGUAGAAUAAGCCCCGGCUAACUUCGUGCCAGCAGCCGCGGUAAC
rnacentral:rRNA from 1 species